AGUUCGAUCAUGGCUCAGAUUGAACGCUGGCGGGAUGCUUUACACAUGCAAGUCGAACGGCAGCACGGACUUCGGUCUGGUGGCGAGUGGCGAACGGUGAGUAAUGUAUCGGAACGCCUAGUAGCGGGGAUAACUACGCGAAAGCGUAGCUAAUACCGCAUGGGCCGCCCUCGGGGAAAGCGGGGGGACCUUCGGGCCUGGCAGCACUAUUAGAGCGGCCGAUAUCGGAUUAGCCAGUUGGUGGGGUAACGGCUCACCAACGCGACGAUCCGUAGCUGGUUUGAGAGGACGACCAGCCACACUGGGACUGGAGAGACACGGCCCAGACUCCUACGGGAGGCAGCAGUGGGGAAUUUUUUGACAAUGGGGGAAACCCCGAUCCAGCCAUCCCGCGUGUGCGAUGAAGGCCUUCGCUGUAAAGCACUUGGCAGGAAAAGAAACGGCACGGGGAUAAUACCCCGUGCAACUGACGGUACCUGCAGAAUAAGCACCGGCUAACUACGUGCCAGCAGCCGCGGUAAUAUGUAGGGUGCAAGCGUUAAUCGGAAUUACUGGGCGUAAAGCGCGCAGGCGGUUCGGAAAGAAAGAUGAACCAGAGCUUAACUUUGAACUGCAUUUUUAACUACCGAGCUAGAGUGUCAGAGGAGGUGGAAUUCCGCGUGUAGCAGUGAAAUGCGUAGAUAUGCGGAGGAACACCGAUGGCGAAGGCAGCCUCCUGGGAUAACACUGACGUUUUAUGCACGAAAGCGUGGGGAGCAAACAGGAUUAGAUACCCUGGUAGUCCACGCCCUAAACGAUGUCAACUAGCUCGUUGGGGGCCUUCGCCUUGUAGCGCAGCUAACGCGCGAAGUUGACCGCCCGGGGAGUACGGUCGCAAGAUUAAAACUCAAAGGAAUUGACGGGGACCCGCACAAGCGGUGGACAUGGAUUAAUUCGAUGCAACGCGAAAACCUUACCUACCUCUUGACAUGUCUGAAUCCCGAAGAGAUUUGGGAGUGCUCGCAAGAGAACCGAACACAGGUGCUGCAUGGUUGUCGUCAGCUCGUGUCGUGAGAUGUUGCUGUCCCGCAACGAGCGCAACCCUUGUCAUUAGUUGCUACGAAAGGGCACUCUAUCGAGACUGCCGGUGACAAACCGUGGAGGAAGGUGGGGGAUGACGUCAAGUCCUCAUGGCCCUUAUGGGUAGGGCUUCAUUAAUGUCAUGCAAUGGUCGGGACAGAGGGUCGCCAACCCUGCGAGGGGGAGCCAACUCAGAAACCCGAUCGUAGUCCGGAUCGCAGUCUGCAAUCGACUGCGUGAAGUCGGAAUCGCUAGUAAUCGCGUGAUCAGCAUGUCGGUGAAUACGUUCUCAAGUCUUGUACACACCGCCCGUCACACCAUGGGAGUGGGUUUUACCAGAAGUAGUUAGCCUAACCGUAAGGAGGGCGAUUACCACGGUAGGAUUCAUGAUCAGUGGUUGCAACAAGGUAAC
rnacentral:rRNA from 1 species